GAGGGAUCAUUACACAAAUAUGAAGGCGGGCUGGAACCUCUCGGGGUUACAGCCUUGCUGAAUUAUUCACCCUUGUCUUUUGCGUACUUCUUGUUUCCUUGGUGGGUUCGCCCACCACUAGGACAAACAUAAACCUUUUGUAAUUGCAAUCAGCGUCAGUAACAAAUUAAUAAUUACAACUUUCAACAACGGAUCUCUUGGUUCUGGCAUCGAUGAAGAACGCAGCGAAAUGCGAUAAGUAGUGUGAAUUGCAGAAUUCAGUGAAUCAUCGAAUCUUUGAACGCACAUUGCGCCCUUUGGUAUUCCAAAGGGCAUGCCUGUUCGAGCGUCAUUUGUACCCUCAAGCUUUGCUUGGUGUUGGGCGUCUUGUCUCUAGCUUUGCUGGAGACUCGCCUUAAAGUAAUUGGCAGCCGGCCUACUGGUUUCGGAGCGCAGCACAAGUCGCACUCUCUAUCAGCAAAGGUCUAGCAUCCAUUAAGCCUUUUUUCAACUUUUGACCUCGGAUCAGGUAGGGAUACCCGCU
rnacentral:rRNA from 1 species